rnacentral:rRNA from 1 species
CCUACGGGGGGCAGCAGUGAGGAAUAUUGGUCAAUGGAUGAGAGUCUGAACCAGCCAAGUAGCGUGAAGGAUGACUGCCCUAUGGGUUGUAAACUUCUUUUAUAUGGGAAUAAAACGUUCCACGUGUGGGAUUUUGUAUGUACCAUAUGAAUAAGGAUCGGCUAACUCCGUGCCAGCAGCCGCGGUAAUACGGAGGAUCCGAGCGUUAUCCGGAUUUAUUGGGUUUAAAGGGAGCGUAGGUGGAUUGUUAAGUCAGUUGUGAAAGUUUGCGGCUCAACCGUAAAAUUGCAGUUGAAACUGGCAGUCUUGAGUACAGUAGAGGUGGGCGGAAUUCGUGGUGUAGCGGUGAAAUGCUUAGAUAUCACGAAGAACUCCGAUUGCGAAGGCAGUUCACUGGACUGCAACUGACACUGAGGCUCGAAAGUGUGGGUAUCAAACAGGAUUAGAUACCCCUGUAGUC